CUUACACAUGCAAGUCGAACGGGCAGCACGGGUGCUUGCACCUGGUGGCGAGUGGCGAACGGGUGAGUAAUACAUCGGAACAUGUCCUGUAGUGGGGGAUAGCCCGGCGAAAGCCGGAUUAAUACCGCAUACGAUCUACGGAUGAAAGCGGGGGACCUUCGGGCCUCGCGCUAUAGGGUUGGCCGAUGGCUGAUUAGCUAGUUGGUGGGGUAAAGGCCUACCAAGGCGACGAUCAGUAGCUGGUCUGAGAGGACGACCAGCCACACUGGGACUGAGACACGGCCCAGACUCCUACGGGAGGCAGCAGUGGGGAAUUUUGGACAAUGGGCGAAAGCCUGAUCCAGCAAUGCCGCGUGUGUGAAGAAGGCCUUCGGGUUGUAAAGCACUUUUGUCCGGAAAGAAAUCCUUGGUUCUAAUAUAGCCGGGGGAUGACGGUACCGGAAGAAUAAGCACCGGCUAACUACGUGCCAGCAGCCGCGGUAAUACGUAGGGUGCGAGCGUUAAUCGGAAUUACUGGGCGUAAAGCGUGCGCAGGCGGUUUGCUAAGACCGAUGUGAAAUCCCCGGGCUCAACCUGGGAACUGCAUUGGUGACUGGCAGGCUAGAGUAUGGCAGAGGGGGGUAGAAUUCCACGUGUAGCAGUGAAAUGCGUAGAGAUGUGGAGGAAUACCGAUGGCGAAGGCAG
rnacentral:rRNA from 1 species